rnacentral:tRNA from 1 species
UAUAGGGUAGUUUAAAUAAAACAUAUGUUUGUGGUACAUAAGAUAUAGAGAAAGAGAAUCCCUGUAA